UUUGUCUAAAAGUGAAUUUUUAUUUAUCAUAUACGCGGAGAACCGCGAUGGCCCGCUACCGGGGCGUCGAUACAUAAAAGAGCCCAUAGGCUUGAGGGAGGAGAGGCCCACCAAUUCGGAGGAAUGGUCUUCAGGCGUUGGUUACGUGCGGCCCAGUCCGCAGCUUGGUUCGCUGAGCGGGGACAGAAAGCAAGGCCCAGUCGCGGCAUCUGCUGGAGAAGAAGUCGACAGCUCCUCACCGCCCCACGUGCGUUCACUUCAGUUUGCUGUUCAUUCUUCAAGCUAGUUAACACGGUUUUACUGUCAGUUUCCAAGACAGCUUCGCAGAAGUGUUUCUCCUUUAAAAACUUUAGGGCUUCAAGGACCCUAGGGUUUCAACUUGCACGCUUGAUUCCGCCCAGACGUUCUUCGAGAAUCCAUCUACUAGGGUGCCGAAGGAGUCCCGCACAACGCAGGCAACCGCUCCCUCCGUCGAUCCUUCGCCUAACGAUCCGUCAACGUUCAGCUUGAGGCAGCCGGGCUUUGGAGCUCGCCAGAUCUAUCACUUUGUUGGCAUCCGGUUUGGUUCCUCGGAAGAUGAAAUCGUUUCGGCCCUUCCAUACCUGCCAUAGGAGAGUGCCGACUUUCUCUAGAGAGGGGAGCCCAAGGGCAGAGGAGGAGAGUAUGUUCGGCCGUUUC